rnacentral:lncRNA from 1 species
CAGGAGUGCCCCUGUGUGUUGACCGCCUUGCUGCUGCAGGAGCUGGGGGCUGCCGGCACUGACCCGGGGGCUCACUCACCCAUUUUGGGAGAGGGCGGUCAGCCCCUUGGGCCUGGAGAUGAACUGGGCUCAGGCCAGACCCUCCGUACAGGCUGUAGCAACUGGUGAGGGGGACGGUGAGGGUGGGGGAGAGAUUUGGAGUCAAGGGAGGGGGAGGCGUUGGCUGCCCUGGCCCUGCCUGGCCUGGGUAACCUUGGCUGUGUCUCCUGCUCUUUGGGAUGGAGACGCUUGCCAACAUCCCUUUCUCUCAGGGUCUAUCCUGCCCAGCCCCUCACCCCCAUGCUGUUUCCCUAGCUCUUGUGUGCAUGGGAGGCUGUCUUGUUCAGUGGGCAACUGCUCUAAGGCCGCUGAUGGCUUCAGUCCCUGGGGGCCGUGGGGCCCGUGUUCCCGCUCCUGUGGUGGGCUGGGCACCCGCACCCGCAGCCGCCAGUGUGUGCAAGCCUCACUCGCCCCGGGCAGCCAGGGCUGCCGAGGGACCCUCCAGGAGCUCAAGUACUGCCCCAGCCCAGACUGCCCAGGUGAGGGAAGUGGGAAGGGAGAGUCUGGCCAAAUACACCUCAACCCUUCCGUUGUCCUUUCCUGUCUCUGCCCAUCCGAGUUGCUGUCUCUGGAUCUCUCUUCCUCGCCUGCUAGCUCUGUGUGUCUCUUCGAUUCCGGUGUAACCAACGUUUCUGGAGCUCUUGCCAAAUGCACCACGCUGUGUGUGUUAGGGGGAUAGUGAGGACUCUGACCUUGGAAUCCAGGGGCUCAGAUAACCCAUUUCAGCAUGUGGUGAGCCCUGUAGGAGGGCGCACAUGCUAUGGAAGAUUGGGGAGGUUGAGAAUUCUCCUGGAGGGUCAGUGUAGGAGGGCUUCCUGGGGAGGCAGCAUGUGGGGUUUGAGGAGGGAGAGGACCUUGACAAUCAUUGGAGGGGAAGGAAUGCCAGGUAGCAGGAGCGGCUUGAGCCAAGGCCUUGCUGCCAUGAGGAAGUACUGUGCUUGGGGCCCAGAGGGUCGGUGGGAGACCAAGCUGACGAGGGGCUGAACCAGAUAGUGAUGGGUUUGGAACGUGGCCACCAGCUUCAGGUUUGGUCCUGGUGCGGUGCAGGCUCAGAAACACUGAGCAGGAUUCUUCUUUGGCACAGGGGCUGAAGGGUCCACGGUGGAGCCAGUGACCAGCCUUCCAGGUAGCCAGACUCCUUGGGUCCUGGCCCCAGACUGCCUGCACCCUUGCACAUGGCCUCCCUUUGGGAAGAACAAGCCCAGGGCCUCCUCCCUUCCCAGCCCUGCUUCCUGGGAGGCCUGGAGCCCAGGGUUGACUCGUCAGGAGGUGCCCCUCCCUCCUCUCCCCUCAGGCGGCUGGGGCCCAUGGUCUCCGUGGUCCCCGUGUUCUCGCACCUGCACAGACCCCGCUCACCCUGCUUGGCGUGGCCGCGCUCGCCUCUGCCUGGCAAACUGCACCGGGGGGGACACUUCACAGGAGCGCCCUUGCAACCUGCCCUCCUGCACAGGUGCGCCUUCCAGUCUUGACCUCUGACCCUGACCUAUGUCCAAACCACGGCCAUCCCGUCUAAUCCCAGCAUCCUCCCUCAAACAGCUCAUUCUGGCUCCCAGCCCUUGUCCCACAUCCAGCCCCCAACAUCUAAUACUCCUGAAGCAAAUCCUGAACUCUCAGCCUGACACCUAAUCAUGAACCCGUGUGUGACUCUGGACCCUGGGUGCUUUGUGUCAGCCCGGCAACUGUUGGGGAGCCACCGCCAGCACCCAAGAAAACCCUCACUUGUGUGUGUACUGAACAGUCCCCCGAAAUUCCCAUCCAAAUCCCUCAGUACCCUGUGAGUCCGUGAGUCUGGGGCGUAGUUGCCAAAGCCCCACAACAGCCAGUGUUAGAUCCUAAACAGGAGCCCAAAGGUCUGGAUGAGGUCACGGCUGGCCCUGGCAGACGAGGAGGUCUGCCCCCGAGCAGAGCGGGGCGGGCUCCAGCUCAGCUUUGUCUGGUCCUGUCCUGGCCCGCAGAGCUGCCGCUGUGCCCCAGCCCUGGCUGCGUGGCCGGGAACUGUUCCUGGACGGCCUGGGCCCCGUGGGAACCUUGCUCCCGAAGCUGCGGGGUGGGCCAGCAGCGCCGGCUGCGGGCGUACCACCCCCCGGGGCCCGGCGGGCACUGGUGCCCUGACAUCCUCACCGCUUACCAGGAGCACCGCUUCUGCAGCCUGCGGGCUUGCCCAGGUGAGGCCGGCCGCCGAGGACCAGGACGCGCCCUUCCCUGGCAUCAUGUGCCCCUGUGGCGCUUCCAUCUCCGUGCACGACCCUGCCCCAGGCGCCUGGUGCGUGGGGGGCCCCCGCUGCCUGAGCCAGAUCCCUCACCUGGCCCUUCUCUUUUCCACGCAGUGCCUGGAGGCUGGUCACGCUGGAGCCCCUGGUCCUGGUGUGACCGGAGCUGUGGGGGGGGCCGGUCCCUGAGGAGCCGCAGCUGCUCGAGCCCCCCGCCCAAGAACGGGGGUGCCCCCUGCGUGGGGGAGAGGCACCACGUGCGGCUCUGCAAUCCCGGGCCCUGUGGUAUGGCGGUGGGGACAUCCCGCACAGCUCUUCCCACCCCCACCUCUAAUUGCGUUCCCGCGACACGUUGGGAUGGAGACGCUCGCUGGCCAGCUGAGAAAACCCUGAGGCCCGCGGGGGGUGGACGGUGGGAUCUGGGCACUGGGCGAGGACCUGCCCGGGGUGAGCUGCCCACCCCCAGCUGCACUAGAACUCAUUCUCGCCAUCUUGUCCAUCCUCCUGUUCCUGGAGAAUCACCCAGCCCCGUCAAGGUUUUCGGAGGAUUUGAGGGUUAUGGUCGUGAGUGCACUUGCACCUGGGAUUGGGCUGAGCCAGACAGGCUCCUCCCAGCUUCAGCUCCUUCUGAGCUCACCGACCCCAUGGACCUUGGUCCCUCUAGGGCCUUCCAAUACUAUUAGGACACCCCCCCCCCAUCCCCUCCAGGUGAACACAAAGCAGCCACGUAGGUGAGCAUGUUGGCUUCUUAGAUGCACAAAUUUAGUCCAGCUCGACGACAUUUAUUGGGUGCCAGGCUAGGUGCCGGGAACCCCCAGGUAGGUGAGAGGAACUCCCUGUCACUCAGAAUGUCCCCAUUCCAGGGCCUCCCCAAGGCCCCAUGUUUCUAUGGGCACCAACAUGGGGAGAAGGAUGGGAGUACAGCUUCGUGGAGGUAGGAGCGGUUCCCAGGCAGGCAGGAAGAGGGUUGCUGGUGCUCAGGGCCCUCUUGACUCUGGUCCUCCCCAUGUGCUCAGAGCAGGGCUGCCCAGCAGGCAUGGAGAUGGUCAGCUGUGCCAACCGCUGCCCCCGCCGCUGCUCAGACCUCCAGGAGGGGGUCGUGUGUCAGGACGGCCAGGACGGCCAGGCCUGCCAGCCGGGCUGCCGCUGCUCCGAGGGUGGGUGCUGCCCUGGCCCCUGGGCACGUCACAGCGACUCAGUGGGAAGGCAGGUGGGACCCCGGGUGCCUGCACAGCUCUGGAGGGCUGCCUCCCCGCAGGCUUCCUGGAGCAGGACGGAGGCUGUGUGCCGAUCGGGCACUGCGAGUGUACGGAUGCCCAGGGCCACAGCUGGGCCCCAGGGAGCCAGCACCGGGAAGCCUGCCUCACCUGCACUUGCCGGGCCGGGCGGCUUUCCUGCACGGCUCAGCCCUGCCCACCGCCUGCCCACUGCGCCUGGAGCCGCUGGUCAGCCUGGAGUCCCUGCAGCCACUCGUGUGGGCCCGGAGGGCAGCAGAGCCGCUUCCGGUGUGUAUGGGGCUGGGCCAAGCUAGCGUCACCUCCCCCAACCCCGGUCCGCCACGCCUGGACGCGGUCUCCCUCUCUUAUGCAGAGCUCCUGGAUUCUGCCCCCCAGGGGCAUGCCCACUCUGUGCCCUGGCCCCACCUUUGUCCCUGGUCAUCCUUGCCUUUAGCCACCUCCACGCCCACCCCAGGCUUUCCCAUCUGGUGUCCCACCAGGAGGUGGAGGAGUGAUGAAGGGCCCUGGGCCAUCACUCACCUCCUGUGCCCUGGGCCCCACAAAGGUCCUCCACGUCUGGCCCAUGGGCUCCAGAGUGCCGGGAGGAGCAGUCCCAGAGCCGGCCCUGCCCUCAGCCCCCAUGCCCACCCCUGUGCCUGCACGGUGCCCGCCUCCACACCUUGGGGGACAGCUGGCUGCAGGGCGAGUGCCAGCAGUGGUAAGUCUGGGCAGAGGCAGGGGUGGAGCGGGGACGGGGGCGGAUGGCAGUGUCCCUGAGUCUGGUCUCCUCCCUUCAGCUCCUGCACCCCGGAGGGCAUCAUAUGUGAAGACAUCGAGUGUGCAGGUCUGGAGUUUAUGUCCCGCUCCCACCUCCCCCCACCUCUGUUUGCCGCGUGUCUCAUAUUUCCCUCCCACCCCUACUUCCAGCCGCCACCUCCUGUGCCACGGAGGUCCCGACCAGCCAUCGGGACCUUCUCUGACCUUACUUGUGCCCUCCCACAGUACCCAGGGCUUGGACGCUGUGGUCCCCUUGGUCUGAAUGCCCCGUCUCCUGUGGAGGUGGAAACCAGGUUCGCACCCGGGACUGCGUGGCCUCGACCCCUCACCGCAGCGGGGCCCCCUGCCUGGGCCCUGGUACCCAGACCCAGAGCUGUGGACGGCAGCCUUGCCUGGGGCUGCUGGACGCCUGCUCCUGGGGCCCCUGGGGGCCCUGUUCCCGCAGCUGCGGCCCCGGCCUGGCCUCCCGCUCUGGGUCCUGCCCCUGCCCGCU